GAUGAACGCUGGCGGCGUGCCUAAUACAUGCAAGUCGAGCGAACAGACGAGGAGCUUGCUCCUCUGACGUUAGCGGCGGACGGGUGAGUAACACGUGUAUAACCUACCUAUAAGACUGGGAUAACUUCGGGAAACCGGAGCUAAUACCGGAUAAUAUAUUGAACCGCAUGGUUCAAUAGUGAAAGACGGUUUUGCUGUCACUUAUAGAUGGAUCCGCGCCGCAUUAGCUAGUUGGUAAGGUAACGGCUUACCAAGGCAACGAUGCGUAGCCGACCUGAGAGGGUGAUCGGCCACACUGGAACUGAGACACGGUCCAGACUCCUACGGGAGGCAGCAGUAGGGAAUCUUCCGCAAUGGGCGAAAGCUUGACGGAGCAACGCCGCGUGAGUGAUGAAGGUCCUCGGAUCGUAAAACUCUGUUAUUAGGGAAGAACAAAUGUGUAAGUAACUAUGCACGUCUUGACGGUACCUAAUCAGAAAGCCACGGCUAACUACGUG
rnacentral:rRNA from 1 species